GGCGGCUGUGGCUCACACUUUUAAUCCCAUAGAUCUCUUUGUGUUCAGGGAUACAGCCAGCAUUGGAGACAUAUGCUUUUAAGACCUGGGCGGCUGUACAUACAGACCUUAAUGAGGCAGUCACGUGUUUGGGUUUACAACCACUGAGAAGGCAGAACAAAAAGACUAUAUAAAGACAAACACACAGGAAGUAGCUCCUUUUUGGAGAGGUCUCUUCGCCAG